rnacentral:misc_RNA from 1 species
UUAGCUUGUCACUUUUUUGUCAUAAUCAACACCAUUUACAGAGCAAGAAUGAGUGCAGAAACAAGUGACAAGCUAAUUGCUAGUAUUACAAAACUUUCCUAGUCUAGCUAAUAUACAGGAAUAUUGUAGGAGAAGUAUACAUGAUUAGUUCAACUCUAUAAAUCUAAACAACAAUUCCCCAAACUGUGAACUCCUAUCUUG